AACGCUGGCGGCAGGCCUAACACAUGCAAGUCGAACGGAGUUAUAUUGUAGCUUGCUACGGUAUAACUUAGUGGCAGACGGGUGAGUAAUGUAUAGGAAUCUACCUAGUAGUACGGAAUAAUUGUUGGAAACGGCAACUAAUACCGUAUACGCCCUACGGGGGAAAAAUUUAUUGCUAUUAGAUGAGCUUAUAUUAGAUUAGUUAGGUGGUGGAGUAAUAGCGUAUCCAAUGCAAUGAUCUAUAGAUGAUCUGAGAGGAUGAUCAGCCACACUGGAACUGAGAUACGCGUCCAGACUCCGGUGGUGAGGCAGCAGUGGGGAAUAUUGACCAAUGGGUGAAAGCUUGAUCCAUCCAUGCCGCAUGAGUGAAGAAGGCCUUUGGGUAGUAAAACUAUUUUAGUGAGGAAGAUAAUGACGGUAAUCACAGAAGAAGUCCUGGCUAACUCCGUGCCAGCAGCCGCGGAAAUACGGAGAGGGCUAGCGUUAUUCGGAAUUAUUGGGCGUAAAGUUAGCCUAGACUUAUUAAUAAAGUACAAUCGAAAUCCUCAUCCUUAACCUUGGUUUUGCUUUCAAAAGCAUUAUUCUAUCGUGCGACAGAGGAUAAUCGGGUUCCUGAUGUAGAGGUAAAAUUCGUAAAUAUUACGUCCCGUACGAGUGGGGACGGCAUCUAUCUGGCUCAGCUCUUGCUCAUCCUCGCGAAGGCGGGAUGAGCCAACACCAUUUAGUACCCUGGUAGUCCACGCUGUAAACGAUGAAUGUUAAAUAUGGGAAGUUUACUUUCUGUAUUACAGCUAA
rnacentral:rRNA from 1 species